UUGAUAUUAGUCAUUUCAUUUGGUUAUUGAAUUUGAGUUCCAAAUUAGCAAUGGCUUUCUGCCUUACAUUUUAUUAUUGUGGAAUAGAUUCCAUUGAAAUAACCAUCUAGCUAUAUGUUUUACAGGAAAAAUAAACUGCACACUUGUACAAAUAUUAUAACUUAAAGCAAUUUCACAUUGAAAUUUUUUCAGUAGACAAUGUUGAAGGGUAGGUGCUGUGACGGGUUUUCUCUCAAUACG
rnacentral:misc_RNA from 1 species